CGUAUGGGGCAAGCGUUAUCCGGAUUUACUGGGUGUAAAGGGAGCGUAGGCGGCAGUACAAGUCGGGAGUGAAAACUCGGGGCUCAACCCCGAGACUGCUCUCGAAACUGUACAGCUAGAGUGCAGGAAGGGCAGGCGGAAUUCCUGGUGUAGCGGUGAAAUGCGUAGAUAUCAGGAGGAACACCGGUGGCGAAGGCGGCCUGCUGGACUGUAACUGACGCUGAGGCUCGAAAGCGUGGGGGAGCGAACAGGAUU
rnacentral:rRNA from 1 species